rnacentral:misc_RNA from 1 species
GGUUUAUGAUAUUCUGGAUGGAGUUGGGGAUGUUUCGGCGGCCGCCCCGGGGCUCGCCCUGGCUCUGGCUCCAUCGACGGAGCCGGCGGAGGAUAUGGAGGCGGUAUUCGAUAGCGGGAGGAGCGCGGCGGCUGAAGAUGGGCUCUUUUCGGACUUUGAGGAGGCCGGCGGGAGCCCCGAAAAGGGGCCAGCUGCUGGUGCUGCUAAGGAGGUUCCACCAAUAAAGGCGGCAGCAGUGGGAGUUGCUGCUCCUGUACCCAUUUCAGAGAAGCAGUACCAACCAACUCUUCAAGCAGAUCAAGCUCAAGGUACAGCAAAUGAGAAACAGCCAGCUUCCAAUCCUGAAGUGGGUUUGGGUUCUGCCUCACAUGAGAGUCGGAAACGGAGACGGUUCACAACAGAUGGGAAUGAAGAAACGAUCAAUGUCCAGAAUCAUUUGAUUGGUGUCUUGGAAAAGAAUGGUAAGAUGCUGACUGCUCAACUUGAAGCGCAGAACACCAAUUUCCAAUUGGACCGGGAGCAGCGGAAGGACCAUGCAGAUGGCGUGGUUGCUGUUCUUAAUAAGCUUGCAGAUGCUCUUGGAAAAAUCGCUGAUAAAUUGUAGCAAAAGGCAAUCUGAAGACUGUACAUAAUGAAGCUUCUCUCUUAGUUCCAUACAAGAUAGAUGAGGUUGAAGUAUUGGUGAAUUAAUUUUGAAGAAUUUUUCUAGGAUCACAUUCAAGAUGGUUUCACAUCCUUUUUUGUUUUCUCCCAUUUUCUGAAUAUUUUUCCUUUACAUUUCGACACUUGGUGGCUCAGCGCCGCGUAUAGGGUCUAUACACAGGUAAUAAAGUUGUGGAUUUUAGAGUAAAUAAUACCACAUUUUGUUACUUAUCCAGAGAGUUUAUAUAGAUCUUGAUUCCCUGUUUGAAGUUCGGGAGAUUUGUACAGGUUACUGCUUAUGUUUUAAAUCUGUAGUGCAAAUUAAAUCUUCUCAUUUCUAUGAUUA